rnacentral:rRNA from 1 species
UACGUAGGGGGCAAGCGUUGUCCGGAAUCAUUGGGCGUAAAGAGCGUGUAGGCGGCCAGAAAAGUCCGCUGUGAAAACUCGAGGCUCAACUUCGAGCUGUCGGUGGAAACUUUCUGGCUAGAGUCCGGAAGAGGAGAAUGGAAUUCCUGGUGUAGCGGUGAAAUGCGCAGAUAUCAGGAAGAACACCCGUGGCGAAGGCGAUUCUCUGGGACGGUACUGACGCUGAGGCGCGAAAGCGUGGGGAGCGAACAGG